GUUUUUUUAGUUGAAGUACAAUGGUUUUUCAUACCAUAGGCUAUGGUUAGAGUCCAUAUUAAAAUA
rnacentral:tRNA from 1 species